rnacentral:rRNA from 1 species
UUGCUACUUUGCUGACGAGCGGCCCGACGGGUGAGUAAUGCUUGGGAACAUGCCUUGAGGUGGGGGACAACAGUUGGAAACGACUGCUAAUACCGCAUAAUGUCUACGGACCAAAGGGGGCUUCGGCUCUCGCCUUUAGAUUGGCCCAAGUGGGAUUAGCUAGUUGGUGAGGUAAUGGCUCACCAAGGCGACGAUCCCUAGCUGGUUUGAGAGGAUGAUCAGCCACACUGGGACUGAGACACGGCCCAGACUCCUACGGGAGGCAGCAGUGGGGAAUAUUGCACAAUGGGCGCAAGCCUGAUGCAGCCAUGCCGCGUGUGUGAAGAAGGCCUUCGGGUUGUAAAGCACUUUCAGUCAGGAGGAAAGGUUAACGGUUAAUACCCGUUAGCUGUGACGUUACUGACAGAAGAAGCACCGGCUAACUCCGUGCCAGCAGCCGCGGUAAUACGGAGGGUGCGAGCGUUAAUCGGAAUUACUGGGCGUAAAGCGUACGCAGGCGGUUUGUUAAGCGAGAUGUGAAAGCCCCGGGCUCAACCUGGGAACUGCAUUUCGAACUGGCAAACUAGAGUGUGAUAGAGGGUGGUAGAAUUUCAGGUGUAGCGGUGAAAUGCGUAGAGAUCUGAAGGAAUACCGAUGGCGAAGGCAGCCAC